GAUGAACGCUGGCGGCGUGCUUAACACAUGCAAGUCGAGCGAUGAAGCCCAGCUUGCUGGGUGGAUUAGUGGCGAACGGGUGAGUAACACGUGAGUAACCUGCCCUUAACUCUGGGAUAAGCCUGGGAAACUGGGUCUAAUACCGGAUAGGAGCGUCCACCGCAUGGUGGGUGUUGGAAAGAUUUAUCGGUUUUGGAUGGACUCGCGGCCUAUCAGCUUGUUGGUGAGGUAAUGGCUCACCAAGGCGACGACGGGUAGCCGGCCUGAGAGGGUGACCGGCCACACUGGGACUGAGACACGGCCCAGACUCCUACGGGAGGCAGCAGUGGGGAAUAUUGCACAAUGGGCGCAAGCCUGAUGCAGCGACGCCGCGUGAGGGAUGACGGCCUUCGGGUUGUAAACCUCUUUCAGUAGGGAAGAAGCGAAAGUGACGGUACCUGCAGAAGAAGCACCGGCUAACUACGU
rnacentral:rRNA from 1 species